AUACGGAGGACGCGAGCGUUAUCCGGAUUCAUUGGGUUUAAAGGGUGCGCAGGCGGCCGUGCAAGUCAGCGGUGAAAGCCCGGGGCUCAACCCCGGAAGUGCCGUUGAUACUGCAUGGCUGGAAUGCGGUCGAGGCGGGCGGAACGUGGCGGGUAGCGGGGGAAUGCGUAGAUAUGCCACAGAAAGCCGAUAGCGGAGGCAGCUCGCCGGGCCUGCAUUGACGCGCGGGCACGAAAGCGUGGGGAUCGAACAGGAUUAGAUCCCCUGGUAGUCCACGCCGUAAACGAUGGGCGCUCGUCGCCGGCGGCAGACAGUCGGCGGCCAAGCGAAAGCGAUAAGCGCCCCACCUGGGGAGUACGGUCGCAAGGCUGAAACUCAAAUGAAUUGACGGGG
rnacentral:rRNA from 1 species